CCCUUAUAUGUCCUGGGCUGCACGCGUGCUACACUGAUGCAUACAACAAGUAUCCAAGCCCGUCAGGGUGAGGUAAUCUCGAAUAUGCAUCGUGAUGGGGAUAGAUCUUUGCAAUUAUAGAUCUUGAACGAGGAAUUCCUAGUAAAUGCAAGUCAUCAUCUUGCGUUGAUUAUGUCCCUGCCCUUUGUACACACCGCCCGUCGCUCCUACCGAUACCGGGUGAUCCGGUGAACCUUUUGGACCGUUAUACGGAAAGAUAAGUAAACCUAAUCACCUAGAGGAAGGAGAAGUCGUAACA
rnacentral:rRNA from 1 species